rnacentral:rRNA from 1 species
GCAAGAGCUUGCUCUUGGCUGACGAGUGGCGGACGGGUGAGGAAUACUUAGGAAUCUGCCCAUGUAGUGGGGGACAACUCCGGGAAACCGGAGCUAAUACCGCAUACGCCCUACGGGGGAAAGCAGGGGAUCUUUCGGGACCUUGCGCUAUUGGAUGAGCCUAAGUCGGAUUAGCUUGUUGGUGAGGUAAAAGCUCACCAAGGCGACGAUCCGUAGCUGGUCUGAAAGGAUGAUCAGCCACACUGGGACUGAGACACGGCCCAGACUCCUACGGGAGGCAGCAGUGGGGAAUAUUGGACAAUGGGCGAAAGCCUGAUCCAGCAAUGCCGCGUGUGUGAAGAAGGCCUGCGGGUUGUAAAGCACUUUCAGUAGCGAGGAAAAGCUUAAGGUUAAUAGCCUUGAGUCUUGACGUUAACUACAGAAGAAGCACCGGCUAACUCUGUGCCAGCAGCCGCGGUAAUACAGAGGGUGCAAGCGUUAAUCGGAAUUACUGGGCGUAAAGCGCGCGUAGGCGGUUUAAUCAGUCGGAUGUGAAAGCCCCGGGCUCAACCUGGGAACUGCAUUCGAAACUGUUAAGCUAGAGUAUGGUAGAGGGAAGUGGAAUUCCAGGUGUAGCGGUGAAAUGCGUAGAUAUCUGGAGGAACAUCAGUGGCGAAGGCGACUUCCUGGACCAAUACUGA